rnacentral:lncRNA from 1 species
UUGGGCUGUUGUACCGGCGCCGGAGGAGGGAGGGUGGGAUGCGGUGCAAAUAUACAAUCAGAAGAGUAAGGCAUAUAUUUUUGCGUUAGGCAGCAAGAACUAAUAUUAAGAUGUCGUGCAUAUCAUGAAUGAAUAAGAUGACAGCCACUAUCAUUCAAAGUUGUUAGAUCAAUGAAGUUUUGAUGAUUGACACAUGAAUGAAACAUGUUACCCAAGUUGGUCCAAUCAUAUCAAGACAGGGUUCACUUUUCACCGGAGAUACAGACAAGAUUGCUUAAAGUCAGGAAUGGAUAAGCAAGCUUAAUUAUGAUAUAAUCAUAAUGUUGAUCACGUGCGGAAAAGAGUUUGAGGAUGGAUAAAACACAACAGUGAAGGAGUUCUACCUAGACAACGAGAUUGGCUUGGAGAAGGACUUUGACUUAACAACAAACUCUGAUGAGUUGAAGAGUCCAACUGAUGAUAGAAGACUGAAGAAAUGAAGUUAUUGUUAAAUAGAGUAAGUGACAUAGGUUCUUAAGUUGUACUGUUUAUCUAUUUCUAGUCUCAAUAAAGUAUAAACUGAGUUAGGAGUAUUGUCUUCAAGUUGGGGAACUCGAAUACUUGGGAACACUCACCUUGGGAAGGUUUGUAUUUGUAGAAGUAGGAAUUAGAAGUUUAUAAGUCCUAGUUUACCAGAGUCCUAUAAUUUGUUGAUUGUUGAGGCUCAAGUGAUU